UACGAAGGGGGCUAGCGUUGCUCGGAAUCACUGGGCGUAAAGCGCACGUAGGCGGACUCUUAAGUCGGUGGUGAAAUCCUGGAGCUCAACUCCAGAACUGCCCUUCGAUACUGAGAGUCUCGAGUCCGGGAGAGGUGAGUGGAACUGCGAGUGUAGAGGUGAAAUUCGAUAGAUAUUGCAAGAACACCAGUGGCGAAGGCGGACUCACUGGCCCGGUACUGGAACGCUGAGGUGGCGGUAAA
rnacentral:rRNA from 1 species